AUUGAACGCUGGCGGCAGGCCUAACACAUGCCAGUCGAGCGGAUGAAGGGAGCUUGCUCCUGGAUUCAGCGGCGGACGGGCGAGUAAUGCCUAGGAAUCUGCCUGGUAGUGGGGGAUAACGUCCGGAAACGGGCGCUAAUACCGCAUACGUCCUGAGGGAGAAAGGGGGGGAUCUUCGGACCUCACGCUAUCAGAUGAGCCUAGGUCGGAUUAGCUAGUGUGUGGGGUAAAGGCCUACCAAGGCGACGUUCCGUAACUGGUCUGAGAGGAUGACCAGUCACACUGGAACUGAGACACGGUCCCGACUCCUACGGGGGGGAGGAGUGGGGAAUAUUGGACAAUGGGCGGAAACCUGAUCCAGCCAUGCCGCGUGUGUGAAGAAGGUCUUCGGAUUGUAAAGCACUUUAAGUUGGGAGGAAGGGAAGUAAGUUAAUACCUUGCUGUUUUGACGUUACCAACAGAAUAAGCACCGGCUAACUUCGUG
rnacentral:rRNA from 1 species